rnacentral:rRNA from 1 species
UACGUAGGGUGCGAGCGUUGUCCGGAUUUAUUGGGCGUAAAGAGCUCGUAGGCGGUUUGUCGCGUCGGCCGUGAAAUCUCCACGCUUAACGUGGAGCGUGCGGUCGAUACAGGCAGACUUGAGUUCGGUAGGGGAGACUGGAAUUCCUGGUGUAGCGGUGAAAUGCGCAGAUAUCAGGAGGAACACCGGUGGCGAAGGCGGGUCUCUGGGCCGAUACUGACGCUGAGGAGCGAAAGCGUGGGGAGCGAACAGG